rnacentral:lncRNA from 1 species
UGGGGCUGGGGUUGUGGCUCAGCGUUAGAGUGCUCAUCCAGCACCAUAUUUCUAUACCAGUCGAGUCAGUGCAACCACUCUGGAAAGAAGUAUGGAGAGUCCUUAAAAAACUAGGAACCAUUUAACACAGUUAUCCCACUCCUUGGUAUAUAUCCAAAAGUUUUUACAUCAGCAUACUACAGUAAUGUAGCCACAUCAAUAUUUAUAGCAGCACGAUUCAUAAUAUCUAGGCUAUGGAACAAAUCUAUGUGCCCUUCAACAGAUGAAUGGAUAGAGAAAUUGUAGUAGAUAUGUACAAUGGAAUAUUACUUAGCCAUAAAGAAGACAUUCACUUGUAAAUGGGUGGAUCUGGAGACUAUCAUGCUAAGUGAAUAAAGUCAAAUCCCUCAAAAGCCAAAGAUUGAUAUUCUCUGAUACAUGGAUGCUAACCUACAACAAGUUGUGAGGGAACAGAAAUUCAGUAGUUUAAACACAGGUGAAUGAAGGGUGG